rnacentral:tRNA from 1 species
GAAAUAAGUGACUCAAAAAUAAGCUUCUAACUUACAUUUUUAAAAGUGUAAUUCUUUUAUUAUUUCU